rnacentral:tRNA from 1 species
GCCUGGGUGGCUCAGUUGGUUAAGUGUCCGACUUCAGCUCAGGCCAUGAUAUCAUAGUUCGUGGGUUCAAGCCCCGCAUCAGGCU